rnacentral:rRNA from 1 species
CGUGUAGGCGGCCGCCUAAGUCGGGUGUGAAAGCCCGGGGCUCAACCCCGGGAUGCCGCCCGAGACUGGGGGGCUUGAGGACGGAAGAGGGGCGUGGAAUUCCUGGUGUAGCGGUGAAAUGCGUAGAGAUCAGGAGGAACACCCGUGGCGAAGGCGGCGCCCUGGUCCGUCCCUGACGCUGAGACGCGAAAGCGCGGGGAGCGAACG